rnacentral:rRNA from 1 species
UACAUGGGGUGCAAACGUUGCUCGGAAUUAUUGGGCGUAAAGCGCACGUAGGCGGUUUGUUAAGUCGGAUGUGAAAUCCCUCGGCUCAACUGAGGAAGCGCAUCCGAAACUGGCAGGCUUGAGUACUAAAGAGGGUCGCGGAAUUCCCGGUGUAGAGGUGAAAUUCGUAGAUAUCGGGAGGAACACCGGUGGCGAAGGCGGCGACCUGGGUAGAUACUGACGCUGAGGUGCGAAAGCGUGGGGAGCAAACAGG